rnacentral:rRNA from 1 species
ACGGAAGGCAGCAGUGGGGGAUAUUGCACAAUGGAGGGAACUCUGAUGCAGCGACGCCGCGUGUGGGAAGACGGUCUUCGGAUUGUAAACCACUGGCUUUGGGGACGAUAAUGACGGUACCCAUGGAGGAAGCUCCGGCUAACUACGUGCUAGCAGCCGCGGUAAUACGUAGGGAGCGAGCGUUGUCCGGAAUUACUGGGUGUAAAGGGAGCGUAGGCGGAAUGACAAGUUGGAUGUUAAAUAUAUCGGCUUAACUGGUAUCUGCAUUCAAAACUGCCGUUCUUGAGUGAAGUAGAGAUUGGUGGAAUUCCUAGUGUAGCGGUGAAAUGCGUAGAUAUUAGGAGGAACAUCGGUGGCGAAGGCAACCAACUGGGCUUUUACUGACGCUGAGGCUCGAAAGCGUGGGGAGCAAACAGGAUUAGAUACCCUGGUA